AUGAUGGUGAACAGCUGAAGAGGUGCUGCAGUCAUUUCUGAACGAGCAGCCUCGCGACGCUGCAGCUGAUGCUGAUGCAGCAGGAGGAGGACAGGCAAGACAGCGACCAGUGAGGAGACUUCAGGAAACUAUGCAGCGUCUCCAAAACGGAGGGAAACAACAGGCUAUAUGACCCGAUGCAAGGCUAAUGGAAGCGAGGAGAGCUGUCUUGACUAAAGAAGAAAUGGAUGUCUGGAGAGGGAUCACAAUAGACAUGAUAUCACAUGAGGACGACGGCACAGCUGACGGGGAAACUGUGGAUUGUGGCCACCAUCCUUUAGAAGCCAGGAGCUCUCUGAGCUAUGUGCUGUUCUUCAGGAGAGACUGCACGGGAACCCAAAAUAUGAAGCA